GACGAACGCUGGCGGCGUGCUUAACACAUGCAAGUCGAGCGGAGCGGCGAACGGGUGAGUAACGCGUGAGUAACUGCCCCCCUCUCUGGGAUAACAGUUGGAAACGGCUGCUAAUACCGGAUAGCGGGGGAUGACUCGCGUCCUAUCAGCUUGUUGGUGGGGUAGUGGCCGACCAAGGCGACGACGGGUAGCCGGCCUGGGAGGGGGAACGGCCACAUUGGUCUGAGAUACGGCCCAAACUCCUACGGGGGGCAGCGGUGGGGAAUAUUGCACAGUGGGGGAAACGCUGAUGCGGCAACGCGGGGGCGGGAUGACGGCCUUCGGGUUGUGAACCGCGUUCAGCCAUGACGCGGUAGUGGCAGAAGAAGCACCGGCUAACUACGUGCCAGCAGCCGCGGUAAUUC
rnacentral:rRNA from 1 species